rnacentral:rRNA from 1 species
UGGGGAAUAUUGGACAAUGGGCGAAAGCCUGAUCCAGCCAUGCCGCGUGUGUGAAGAAGGUCUUCGGAUUGUAAAGCACUUUAAGUUGGGAGGAAGGGCAGUAAGCGAAUACCUUGCUGUUUUGACGUUACCGACAGAAUAAGCACCGGCUAACUCUGUGCCAGCAGCCGCGGUAAUACAGAGGGUGCAAGCGUUAAUCGGAAUUACUGGGCGUAAAGCGCGCGUAGGUGGUUCGUUAAGUUGAAUGUGAAAGCCCCGGGCUCAACCUGGGAACUGCAGCCAAAACUGGCGAGCUAGAGUAGGGCAGAGGGUGGUGGAAUUUCCUGGGUAGCGGUGAAAUGCGUAGAUAUAGGAAGGAACCCCAGUGGCGAAGGCGACCACCUGGGCUCAUACUGACACUGAGGUGCGAAAGCGUGGGGAGCAAACAGG